UUAAAUGAGAGUUUGAUCCUGGCUCAGGACGAACGCUGGCGGCGUGCCUAAUACAUGCAAGUCGAGCGAUGAUUAAAGAUAGCUUGCUAUUUUUAUGAAGAGCGGCGAACGGGUGAGUAACGCGUGGGAAAUCUGCCGAGUAGCGGGGGACAACGUUUGGAAACGAACGCUAAUACCGCAUAACAAUGAGAAUCGCAUGAUUCUUAUUUAAAAGAAGCAAUUGCUUCACUACUUGAUGAUCCCGCGUUGUAUUAGCUAGUUGGUAGUGUAAAGGACUACCAAGGCGAUGAUACAUAGCCGACCUGAGAGGGUGAUCGGCCACACUGGGACUGAGACACGGCCCAGACUCCUACGGGAGGCAGCAGUAGGGAAUCUUCGGCAAUGG
rnacentral:rRNA from 1 species